rnacentral:lncRNA from 1 species
GCGCCGACCUUGAUCUCGUAGCCGGCGCCAGCAGCCGCGCUUUGGGGCGUCGGCUCACGUGGGGCCGGCAACGCGUCUUCCAGGAUGUUCGCGCGCUAGUCGCCGCUGAGGGGCCGGCGAUGCGCGAGGAGUUCCGGCGAGGAAGGUCGGUCAGUGGACAUGGCCGAGGCCCGCGGUGUCCGCGUGUGGGAGCUGCAGGGCUGAGGAGAGGCCGCCCGCAACCCUCGGGAAUCGUGUGAGGUGCCACUGGGGUCGCUUCACAUCAGGAGGCCCCGUCUCGGGGGACGCGCGCAGGUGACCCUGCUGGUCGUACCUGGCCGGGGUGGCCCGGAGGGGCUGGGUCUCGGCGCCAGGAGGGGCCGUGUGGGCCGCCUGUUAAAGGACCCCUCGUUCGCUGACAUUUGAUUUUGCAUUGGGUGCCUUCUCUUCUGUUUUUUUCAGCCAGUGAGAUCCGUCCUGGGCACUCAGCUGUAGAGCAGGGGAACGAGUCCUGCGCUUUUUGCGCUGAGGUCUCCUGGCCCGUAGGCCAGGCAGCCUCUGAGCUCCUUUCUCACCAGCAGCUUGCGAUCCCUCAUCCCUGGCCCUGUCACUCCCAGCUGUUUCCAGUGCCGCCCUUUUUUUUUUUUUUUUUUUGAGAUGGAGAGUUUAACUUGUUCGCCCAGGCUGGAGUGAAGUGGCACGAUCUUGGCCUACUGCAACCUCUGCCUCCCGGAUUCAAGCGAUUCUCCUGCCUCAGCCUCCCGAGUAGUUGGGAUUACAGUCGUGCGCCACCACGCCCGGCUAAUGUUUAUAUUUUUAGUAGAGACGGGUUUUCACCAUAUUGGUCAGGCUGGUCUCGAACUCGUGACCUCAGGUGAUUCCCUCCCCCCGCCCCACCACCUCAGCCUCCCAAAGUGCUGGGAUUACAGGCCUGAGCCACCGUUCCCGGCCUCGAGCGCCUUCUUAUAAACUGGAUGGUGGUUUUUGUUUUCACCUUCAAAGUCGAAUCUCCCUAGUCCGUUUAUUACCAGAAAGAGGUCUCCACUCAGACCCAGCGAGAGGCUUCUUGGAUGUCGCGUAGGAAAGAAUUCGGGGCGAGUCCACGGACUAAAGUGAAAGCAAGUGUAUUAGAGAAGUGAGAAAGCAAAAGAAUGGCAGAGCAGGGCAUUCCUGAAAGCGGGAGGAGGAAGGCGCCCGCCUUAGGUACAGUGCUUGUUCAAAUCUAAGGUAACACAGCCAAAGAAAUCUUGGGGGACAUGGGCUCUACCACGAGGGCCCACGACCAAGGUUUCAUGCGCGUCCGUGUGAAGAGACCACCAAACAGGAUUUGUGUGAGCAACAUGGCUGUUUAUUUCACCUGGGUGCAGGCGGGCUGAGUCCAAAAAGACAGUCAGCGAAGGGAGAUAGGGGUGGGGCCGUUUUAUAGGAUUUGGGAAGGUAAUGGAAAAUUACAGUCAAAGGGGGUUGUUCUCUGGUGGGCAGGGGUGGGGGGUCACAAGGUGCUCAGUGGGGGAGCUUCUGAGCCAGGAGAAGGAAAUUCACAGGGUUAAUCACUUAGUUAAGGUUGGGCAGGAACAAAUCACGAUGGUGGAAUGUCAUCAGUUAAGGUGGGGCAGGGCCUUUUCACUUCUUUUGUGAUUCUUCAGUUACUUCAGGCCAUCUGGGCGUAUACGUACAAGUCACAGGGGAUGCGAUGGCUUGGCUUGGGCUCAGAGGCCUGACACAAGGAUUGUUCAUCUUUGUUUACUGACUUUGGCAAAGAUCUAUAUUAUCUUUAAAGCGAAACCUAAAUGAAGAAUGCUUUUGAUCUUAAGAUAUUGUUAGGUUUUGAAGGGAAGACGAGAGUUAAAGAAUGACACACAGGUCGGGCGCUGUGGCUCACGCCUGUAAUCCCAGCACUUUGGGAGGCCGAGGCGGGUGCAUCACCUGAGGUCAGGAGUGGGAGACCAGCCCGACCAACAUGGUGAAACCUCAUCUCUACUAAAAAUACAAAAAUUAGCGGGGCGUGGUGGCACAUGCCUGUAAUCUCAGCUACUUGGGAGGCUGAAGCAGGAGAAUCACUUGAACCCGCGAGGCAGAGGUUGCAGCGAGCCAAAAUCACGCCAUUGCACUCCAGGCUGGGUAAUACAGUGAGACUGCGUCUCAAAAAAAAAAAAAAAAAAAAAAAAAAACAAAGGGCAGCUCAACAGCAACACAGGUAUAUGGCAAAAACCUACAGAGAUGGGGGAUCAGCUUAAUGCCAGAGCCCACUGCUGCUUACAGGCUGGGGUACUUAUAGGGCAGGAGGGGAAUGGGCAGUAUGGCUUGCCAUGUGAAUAUACUUACCAGUAUAUCUAUCCAUAAAACGUUCUAUGAUCAGGCAGUUUGGCCCUUGUUCCCUCAGAAAGUGACAGUGAUGUUCCUUGCACCUUUGCUGAGCAAGGUUUGAUAGGGAUGUUCCUUCAAUUGGGCCUUUACCCAACAGGGUUUGGUAAGAAAGUUGGGCAGGAAAUUUCUCACGGCCUGAACCCCCGUGGAAUGUUUCGCUUUGACCAGUGUCUGCGAAAUGGCGGGGGGCUUAGAAAAUGGUGCAGUUUGGCAGGGCGUGGUGGCUCACGCCUGUAAUCCCAGCACUUUGGGAGGCUGAGGCGGGUGGAUCACAAGGUCAAGAGAUCGAGACCAUCCUGGCCAACAUGGUGAAACCCUAUCUCUACUAAAAAUACAAAAAAUUAGCCGGGCGUGGUAGCGGGUGCCUGUAGUCCCAGCUACUCAGGAGGCUGAGGCAGGAGAAUGGCGUGAACCCAGGAGGCGGAGCUUGCAGUGAGCUGAGAUUGCCCCACUGCACUCCCGCCUGGGCAACAGAGCGAGACUCCAUCUCAAAAAAAAAAAAAAAAGAAAGAAAGAAAAUGGUGCAGUUUGGACUAACAGAUACAGCGACAUCAAAAUGUUUCCUGGGUCUGUUAAGUCCUGGGUUUGUUUAGUGAACGUUAUUAAUCUGUUCCUGUAACCCUAAACAUCUUGUGACUACUAAGAAUGCAGCCAACAGGUCUCUGCCUGAUUUUACCUACUGCCUCUUCAAGAUGGAAUUGCUCUGGUUCCAAUGCCUCUGACAAACUGGCUGCUUGAUCUCUAGGUUGUGACCAUGUCAGGGAUAGAGGCAGCUUAGGUAGAGGUAGACUUUCUUGUACUCAACAUUGAAUUGUGGCUUAGUUAAAAUCAGAACUUUCAUUCUUGGAAUAAUACAGUAUUGUAAGGGUAAGCCAAAUGAUUAACACAUUUACUUAAUUACACAUUGUAGCAUUGAAAUAACUGAUGCCUUUCUAAUGCAAAUAAAAAAGAUUUAUGUAUAUGAUAGCACUGUAGCUGUCUUGCGCCUUACUGGAUGGAUUUCAUUGCUGGCUAAAAUGACAACUUUAAACUGGCUAUAACUCAGAAGAAUGGAGGCACUUUGCACGCAGACAUCUACCUCCAUUGAAUUUGGCUACUUCCUUUUAAUGAAGCUCAAGUCUCAUGUUAUGAAAUACUCCUCCAAAGGUGUUAGCCCUUUUUUCCUAUACUCUGCCUUUCAAAAAUCCCUUUCAAUUUGCUUAACCCCUGAGAGCCAAAGGACUGUGAUGGUUGUUAGGCUGGGUCAUUGUCAUCAUGUUCAGUAAAUAAAUACCCAGACAUGUCAGUUUACCUACUUUACCUGAUUCCAAAUGAGUCCAUGGUGAUGUGAUCCUGCCUUUCUUUCUGCUGUUAGAGGUCCAUGCCAGGAGCCAGCUUUGUAUCAGUUUUGCCACAGUGAUCAGGUCAUAAAUGUCUCAGAUCAUUCAAGCCCAGUUUAACCUAGCAAAGAAAAUGGCAAGAUAAUAUUGCUGUGUUCUAGCUGUGUUCUGGCCUUCAUUUUAGGUAGGCUUAAACCUCGACCUGGAGUCAUUCCUGUUACGAUUUACCAGAAAACACCCAACAGGAAGCCUACAGAACUACACUUUGCUCCUAAUGUUAAGGAAUGAAAACAGGAAAUGUUCUGUUAUCUGCCUGGCAGUGGGGCUUUGGAGUUAAUCUCCUGGCCGUAUCACUUACCAGCUUGGCAGCCUUGGACAAACUGAGCUCUGAGCUCAAGUUUCCUCAUCUGUAAAGCGAGGGUGUAUUAUGUACCUUCAUUUGGUUGUACAGAUUAAGUGUGAACACUUAGGUAAAGCACACAGUAUGGGGCUGAGUAAAUGGACUGUUAAAUAAGACAGUAUCACUUGUUUUUAAGUUCCUUGGAGCUUUCUCCCCUAAACAGCUCAAAAGAUUUUCAUUUUUUUCUAAUGCUAAUAUUUUUCUAAUUCUUGUUUUAAAAUAUUUUACUGUAAAAUAUUUUGGCCAGGUGUAGUGGCUCACACCUGUAAUCCCAACACUUUGGGAGACCAAGGCAGGAGGAUUGCUUGAGCCCAGGAGUUGGAGACCAGACUGAGCAACAUAAUGAGACCUCGUCUCGUCAAAAAACAAAAAUGGAAAAUUUUUAAAAAACAGGCCGGGCAUGGUGGCUCACGCCUGUAAUCCCAGCACUUUGGGAGGCCAACGUAGGCAGAUCGCUUGACCCCAGGAGUUUGAGACCAGCCUUGGCAACAUGGCAAAACCCUAUCUCUACGAAAACUGUUUAAAUUAGCUGGGCGUGGUGGCACGUGGUGGUUCUAGCUACUUGGGAGGGCUGACGUGGGAGGAUUGCUUAACCCCGAGAGGUCGAGGUUGUAGUGAGCUGUGAUUGCACCACUGCACUCCAGCCUGGGCGACAGAGCAAGACCUUGUUUCAACACAAGUAAAAUAUUUGUGAAAUGGGAAUUCAGUUUCAUUUUUUUUUUAACUGAUCAAAAAUAUAACUUUCACCCCCACUGAGGCUUAAAAGAACAAAAACAAAAAAGUGUGACUGACAUUCGGCGGUUUUGGCUUCUAGACCGCCACUAAUAUUGAGCUGAGUUCCUGUAACUCUGGCUAAAAGCAAAGAGCUGUGUUUUAGCCAGAGCAGUUUUAUUAUGAGUUAGAUUUAUGAUUUCCAGUAGGCUUUUUGAAAUGUUGGCCAGAGGUCAGGGACUCCCUGUCCCCAUUCAUAGAUUCUAGACUGAAUCUCUUUCAAUAUGAACACAUUUGGCUCUUUAAGAAAGACUUAACUAAACUGGGAUUCAACUGGAUUGCCUCGAGACUUUGGGCAGAGCACAUGACUUAUUUUGUCCUAGAGAUUCCAAUCUGCUGGACACUCAGAAACUUUCACAACUUCUAUUUUUCACAUUUUUUCAUAUUUUAGGCUUCAGUGCAGAAGGAUUAAAAGUAAUGGCUAAGUUUUCUAAUGCUGUUAUUUAUUUUUUCUUGAGGCUUUAUGGUCACUAAAAAAGUAACAAUAUAUAGUACGUAAAAAAACUUAAAGAUACUGUGGCUUAUAAAAGCGUAUCUUUUUUCUGAGAACAAAAUUAGCCAAUUAAAUAAUAAAACCAUCAAGAGAUGUCACCAGUCAAUGAUGAUGGGGCAAAAAUUGUUCUGCAUUCCGAGGAGGGAGAAAUCGAUGCAAGCAGAAGCGAUUAAACAUUCACAUCUUGGAGCUAAAUGACCUCCUAGGAUGGAUGGGUUUUAUAGAGGUGGAGAGGUGGGGGGAGGGUGCUGGAUGAAAUAACUGGAAAAUCUCCUUUUUCUUACUAUUUUUCUUCAGUCCCUUUAUAGGCACAACUGCUUAAAGAAACCAGAUGGCCCCAGGAUGGUGCCAGAGCUUCCUGACCCCUUAUCAGAUACCAGAGGAAGAUAAGACUGCAGAGCGGAACAGGAUAGGCAACCCCUGGUUGGCUUCAGAUCAUUAUCAUGUCGUUAUAAUGCUAAAAUUCCUUCUCCUAAAAGAAAGUCUCCACCAUUUUGUGUACAUGUGAUGUAUGAAGACGUAUGUUUAUGAAUUGUGUGUGCACAUUUAGAGUCUCACUUUGCACAUGCUAACAUUCCUCUCCUGUCCCACACCUAGUCCUAAAAACUCCAUGCCUUCUAGUGUUUGGGGAGAAGGGGCAUUUAGAGUUAAGAGCCCCUUCCCUGGCCAGCGACUAAAACCUGGUUACCGUUUACAGUUGAAUGUCCUCUGCGUAAAUCGAUACAAAGUGGGGAAAGAGCUGAGUUUACCAGUGACGACUGGAAGACCCUCUCUUUGAGAUUUGUACCAAACCAGGUCUCAGUCUGCCUGUACAUGCUCUGUCAUUGCUUUCACUGUGUUGACCUACUUGCUGCUUUACCCUUUGUGUCUGGCCCUCUCUUGUACUUAGUUCUUUCCUCCUGUCCGUCUCCACCCUCUUUCACAUACUUUUUCUCAGUUUUGUGACUUUAGCAGACCUUUUCGGCUGGCCCCCAGCACAUCCCAUGGCCUGGCAGCAGGUGGUUUCUGCCUGGAGGGCUCAGCCAUCAAAAGAUUUCAAGAUGUAUAUUUUGUAAGGCAAAGCCUAUACUCAUAGACUUUGUGAAGGACCUGGUUGGGGAGACAGGAGAAAAAAUGGAUGGGAAAAAAGUAGUAAGCAGUUUUACUGUGUGAGAUAUUAGUGGGCGAGAUAACAUUGAAGCAGUGCUUGAUUAAAUACCAAAUGAAGUUCCAAUGGUAGCUGAGAGAAGGGAGGGGAGAGACCAUUUCAGACUGGGGCCUGUGUUAGUCUGCUUGUGCUGUUGUAGCAAUGUAGCACAGACUGAGUGGUUUAAACAAAAGAUUGAUUUCCUCACCGUCCUGGAGUCUGGAUAUCCAAGAUCAAGGUGUCAGCAGGGUUAAUUUCUUCUGAGGACUCUCCUUGGCUUUUAGAUGGUCACUUUCUCCCCGUGUCUUCAUGGUCUUCCCUCUCUAUUUUGUCUGUGUCUCUAAUCCCUUAUACAAACACCAGUCAGGCUGGGCACGGUGGCUCACACUUGUAAUCCCCACACUUUGGGAGGCUGAGACAGGAGGAUCACUUGAGGUCAGGAGUUUGAGACCAGCUGGACCAGUAUGUUAAAACCCCGUCUCUACUGAAAAUACAAAAAUUAGCCAGGAGUGGUAGCUCACUCCUGUGGUCCCAGCUACUUGGGAGGCAAAGGCAGGAGAAUUGCUUGAACCUGGGGAGGGUGAGGUUGCAGUGAGCUGAGAUCAUACCACUGCACUCCAGCCUGGGCAACAGAGCAAGACUCCAUCUCAAAAACAAAUAAAGCCGGACGCAGUGGCUCGCGCCUGUAAUCCCAACACUUUGGGAGGCCGAGGCAGGCAGAUCACUUGAGGUUAGGAGUUCGAGACCAGCCUGGCCAACACAGUGAAACCUCAUCUCUGCUAAAAAUACAAAAAUUAGCUGGGCAUGGUGGUACACGUCUGUAGUCCCAGCUACUUGGAAGGCUGAGGCAGGAGAAUCGCCUGAACCCAGGAGGCAGAGGUUGCAGUGAGCCGAGAUUGUGACAUUGCAUUCCAGCCUGGGCGACAAGAGCAAAACUCCGUCUCAAAGACAGACAAACAAAAAACACCAGUCCCUGGAUUUCUAACUGCCUCAUUUUAAUUUAGUUACUUCCGAGGCCCUUUCUCCAAAUGUAGUCACUUUUUGAGGUACUGGGGGUUAGGUCUUCAACAUAAGAAUUUGAGGGAAAUAAAACUGAGCCCAUAGCAGGGUAAUAGGAAAGGCUUUACCAAGUUAAAGCUGGGAUUGGAAAUACCCCAUUUCUGUGAUUAAAAAAUGUACCUUUGACAUUUCUGAAAUCAGUAUAUUUCUGACCUUCAGGGUACAGUUUAAAAAGGCAUACUGCCCUGGUUUUACCAUUAGUGGUUGAAAGGAUGGACAGUACAGACUUCUACUGGGAAAGAGGUCUUAGUGUUAGAUGCAUCAGCUUCUUGGGUCAGGGGCAAGAUUUUUCUCUAAGUUGCCUAUCGGAAUUGAAUCUGCCUUGCCUGAGCCUCUCCUUUCAGACUUUCUUCCCUCUCCCCAGCCAUCAGUGACCUUUCAGUCUUCAUCCCAGGUCCUCUUUCUUCCUCUGCCUCAGAGCCUAGUUAAUUGCUUCUAUUCAGUGAAAUUAGAGUUCAAGAGUCUGGGACUGGGAUUCCUUCUCAGAGAAUGCAGGAGUAGAAGGCAAACACAUCUGACUUCUUGCUUACGUCAUAGAACAUUACAGGAUGCUGUGGACUGAAUUGUGUCCCCCACGAAUUCGUAUGUUGAAACCCUAACUCCUAGUGUGAUUGAAUUUAGAGUAAGAAAGUAAUUAAGGUUAAAUGAUGUCAUAUGGCAUGUGAAAACACAGCCAGAAGCUGGCCAUCUGCAUACUACCAGGAACUGACUUGCCAGCCUCCAGGACUGUGAGAAAAUAAACUGUUGCUUAAGCCAUCAGUCUAUGGUGUUUUGUUAAAGCAGUCCAAGCUAACUAACACACAGAGGUACGAGUCCCUCUGAAAAUUGUCAGUGUUCCUUCAGUUCUCUUUGGGUCAACUUCAGUCUAAGAAUAGGUCUUAGGCCAGUCAAGCUGUACCCCUGACACUGAGGAUGGUUCCACUAAUUCGCCAUCCCCUAAUUCAGGAGGGGGAAGGAUAGAUACGUGAACAAAAUUGAGAUCCUUUUGAGAAGGAAGAGGAAGGGAAUCAGUGCUGGGCGCACAUUUAGCAAUGUCCAGAUGCCCAUAUGCGAUACGACCAUGAUAUGAUCUUAGGUGGCAUUAAUUGAAUACUAUUUAGAAGGAGGAAAAUGGCCUUUUUCUACUCCCAGCAGUUGAGACCAAACUUGUAGUAGGCACAAGGAGAGGCAGCAUAGAGGGUAGAGGCUAAGCAUGCAGGGCCCUGGAGAUUGGCUGCUUGCAUUUUAAUACUGUCUUUCACAUCCUAGCAUUGUGACUUUGAGCAGGAUACUUCUGUGUCUCCUCAUCUCCAAAAUGGAGAAUAAUAAUAGUAACCUAGCUAAUGGGAUUACUGAAGAUUCAAGUAAUACAAUUGAAAUGCUUUAAACAGAGCCUGGCACAUAAAUACUAAAUAAAAAUUGGUGUUUAUAAUUAGUCUGCUCUGGGAAACAUUCUUUCAAGAAGCAUACAGACUAAGUGCAACAGAUUUAGAGAAUGUGACUGAAAAGGGAAGGGGACAAGCCAUGUCAUCUAAGUGAAGGCUGAAGGAGCCAGGGGUGUUAAGACUAGAAAUGGGAAAACAGGAUAUAAAACAUUUGACACAUCUGGAAAAGUCUCAUAUUGUUUGUUGUCUGUUAUGUGUGUUUUGUGUGACUCAGAAGUAGAUAAGACGAAUAGUCCUAGAAGGAAUGCAGAAGACAGUGAGAUGGAGUUGAGAGUGUGAUUUCACAGUCAUAAAGACUCAAGUCUGAAUUCCAGUUCUGUCACUGAUUAGUUCUGUGCCCUUGGAGGUUUUACUCACAUUCAUGGAACCUCAGUUUGUCUGUCUGUAAAAUGGAAAUAAUGACUUCUGCUGUUUGGUUGAGCGAGGUGAUGGGGAUGGUUCAUGGUGAAGCAGAAAGGUACUACCAGAUGAGUUUACUGGCUGCGAUCUGGCCCUCAACUUUGCAGGUCUAAACUUUUGUAAUUACCCAGAGAUGAGCUUGGUGGCAGACCGACACUAAUACCUCUUUCAGGGUUGUAGUGGGUUGAAUAGUUAGUGGCCCUCAAAAGAUAUGUCAGCAUCCUAACCCACUCAACUGGUGAAUGUAACCUUAUUUGGAAAAAGGGUCUUUAUAGAUGUAAUUAAGGAACUUGAGAUGAUCCUGGAUUUUCCAGGUGGACACUAAAUGCAGGGACAGGUGUUCUUAAGGGAGGAAGAGCAGGCAGCCAUGGGAAGACAGCAAGAGAAUGGAGGUAUGCAGCCAUAAGCCAAGGAACACCUGGAGUCACCAGACACUGGAAGAAGCGAGGAAAGAUUCUCCCUAGAGCCUUUGGAGGGAGCGUGGCCCUGCUGGAUUUUCAACUUUACCCUCCAGAGCUGUGAGAGAAUAAAUUUCUCUUGUUUUAAGCCACCAAGUUUGUGGUAACUUGUUAGAGCAGCCUCAGUAGCCACUAAAUAAAGUCCAGUUGAUUAGGGAAAUCUAUCUGGCUUAACUAAUGAUAAAAACAAAUUUAAGAAAAUAAUUCCUUUGGGAGGCCAAGGCAGCAGGAUUGCUUGAGGCUAGAUGUUUGAAACCAGCUUAGGCAACUAAGCAAAACGCCAUCUCUGCAAAAAUAAAAAAAAAUAGCUGCACAUGGUAGCACAUGCCUGUAGUUCUAGCUACUAGGGAGGCUAAGGUGGGAAGAUUGUCUGAGCCCAGGAGUUGGAGGCUGCAGAGAGCUGUGAUCGCACCAUUGACUCCAGCUUGGGCAAUAGAGUGAGACUCUGUUGCUCCAAAAAAAAAAAAAAUAGCCAUCAGAAGAAGGUGUUGUUAAUAAAAACCAGAUAAACUGGGUUUGGAAAAGAAUAUUUUGCCAUAUGAAUCCAUCCCUGUCCAGGUGAAAGAGAUGAGGAGCCUAGAGACGAAAGAUUUUGGUUACUACUGAAGUGUUCUGUUCAGUGGGUCAUGGACGUUUCAUUAUUAGGCUGCUUCCUGGUCUGAGUGAAAUCUCUUCAAGACGAUUCCUUUCUUUGCUGCAGUUCAGCAUUUAUCAAAAAAUAGCCAAUGGAAUGCCAGUGCUGAGAAAUGCUCUGAAGUAAAAGUAUUCCAUGGUUAAAUAGGCUCGGGGUGUCGUAUCUCCCCAGUCUUAGAGCUUCACAAGCACAUCAUCAUAGGAGCCAAGAAGUUAUGACAUAAAGCUGUUUGAACUAUUUAAUAUUUUCACAAAUGUAUUUGAGCCCAGGACCUUUGUAUAGCAAAAUAAUACCACAUUAGAAACAUUAAUAAUUACAUUUCCCAAGUAUCCUGGUAUGGGGAAAGAAUGCCCUGGUUAAGAAAUUCAAGACAAUAAAAGCUGAGUGCGGUGGCUCACGCCUGUAAUCCCAGCAUUUUGGGAGGCCAAGGCGGGCAGAUCACCUGAGGUCAGGAGUUCGAGACCAGCCUGGCCAAAAUGGUGAAACCCCAUCUCUACUAAAAAUACAAAAAUUAGCUGGGCGUGGUGGCGGGCGCCUAUAAUCCCAGCUACUUGGGAGGCUGAAGCAGGAGAAUCACUUGAACCCAGGAGGUGGAGGUUGCAGUGAGCUGAGAUCGCGCCAGUGCAUUCCAGCUUGGGCAACAGAGUGAGGCUUCAUCCCCCUCAAAGAAAAGCCAAACUAAUAAGAUUCAAAAUGAUAAAAUAAUAAAUUGGUGUUUUUUUAUACUUUGCCCUAUAGUAGUUUCCUUGCCUCUUCCAGCUUCUGGUGGCUGCCCCAGCAUUCCUGAGCGUGUGGCUGCGAAACUCCAGUCUCUGCCCCCACCUUCACAUCAUCUUCUCCAUGUCUCCUUACCUUCCUUUGCCUCUGUCUUGAAAAGACACUGUGAUGGCAUUUAGGACCCACCCAGCUAAUUCAGUGUGUUCUCAUCUGCAGAUCCUUGAUCAAGUCACAUUUGCAGAGACCUCUUUUUCAAAUAAGAGACGAGGUCUCACUAUGUUGGCCAGGUUGGUCUCGAAUUCCUGGCCGCAAGCCGUUCUCCAGUCUGGGCCUCCCAAAGUGCUAGGAUUACAGGAACAGAAUUGCCAUUGGGCCCAGGGAGAGACUACACUUCUUGUCUGCUUUGUUGCUAGUGCGGCCUUGUGGCCAAGCACAGAACGUGUGCAGUGAUGAUGGUGCAACUUCUAGGUCGUCCCCAGCAUGGAAAAUGAGCCCUGGGCAUGGAAGAUGAGCCCUGGUCCUGCAGCGGUGCUCUUUCCUCUUCUCACAAGCUGGAAUGUGCAUGUGCUCCCACCCAGCUUUGACCAUGGGGCGAAAACAGUACUCUGCAGUCUGGCAGAGCAACAAGGUGGAAAGGGCCUGGGUCCUUGAGUGACGUCAUGAGCCCUCUCACUGUCCCGACUUUGGGACUGUUAUAUGAUAAGGACUUUCUGUGAGUCACUGUCUUUUAGAGUCUCUCUGUUUUAGCUGCCUGGACUUUAUCCUGAAUAAUAUGGCUGUUAUCAUGGGUAUAGUGUUACUAUGAGCCUCAUCUAAGUAAUUUCUACUCUGCCUUUGACCACUAAACUCAUGUUGGACAAGAGUCACUUAGCAUUAUUUUUUCCUCAAUGAAGAGGUUAAGAUGGAGGGAGCAGGAGAAAUUGAGGCCUGUGUUUUACCAGAAGGUGAAGGGCUGUCUUUGCCUUUCCUACAUUUAUGAAGGAUAAUUCUAGACAAAAACAUUAAGUUCAUAUCAAACCAUCUGCUUUGUGAAGCCAUGGGCUUUGCUAGAACUUUCUGUGACAUGACAUUUAUUAACCCGAGUCUACCUGGAAGUUAGAGCUGAGGAAGUUUUCCUAGAGUGGAAAAAGUCCAAUGCACUUGUAAAAGUCAGACCAAGCUCAGCUCAGAUUUCAGUUUUAUUAGAAGUAUGUCACCUUCCUGAGCCCUUAUUAUUUCCCCAUCUGUGAAAUGAGGACACCGUUCUCUCUUUCUAAGCAUUGCUGGGAAGACCACACACCACUGAGACAGAAGGUGGGGCUAGCGCAGUUCUGGGCAUUUUGUACACCCCCAACAAAUACUGAUUUAUUUCCUUCUUUUUCCUUGCUCAGAAAAAAUUGGAGAAGGCUUUAUUUUAAAAUUCUGCCUGAAUUACUUUAUUUUAUUUAUUUAUUUAUUUAUUUUUUGGAGACAGAGUGUUGCUGUGUCACCCAGGCUGGAGUGCAGUGGUGCGAUCUCAGCUCACUGCAACCUCCUCCUGCUGGGUUCAAACGAUUCUCCUGCCUCAGCCUCCUGAGUAGCUGGGAUUAUGGGCGCCCACCACCAUGCCCAGCUAAUUUCUGUAUUUUUAGUAGAGACGGGGUUUUGCCACAUUGGCCAGGCUGGUCUCGAACUCCUGAUCUCACGUGAUCUGCCCACCUCAGCCUCCCAAAUUGCUGGGAUUACAGGCAUGAGCCACCAUGCCCAGCCCUUGAAUUACUUUAGAUCCUACUUUUUAAGAAAAUAUUUGGCCGGGCAUGGUGGCACACACCUGUAAUCGCAGCACUUUGGGGGCCUGAGUUGGGUGGAUCACUUGAGUCUAAGAGUUCGAGACCAGCCUGGCCAACAUGGCGAAACCCUAUCUCUACUAAAAAUACAAAAAUUAGCCGGGCAUGGUGGUGGGCACCUGUAAUCCCAGCUACUUGGGAGGCUGAGGCAGGGAGAAUCACUUGAACCUGGGGGGGCAGAGGUUGCAGUGAGCCAAGAUAGUGCCACUGUACUACCGCCUGGGCGACAGAGCAAGACUUUGUCUCAAAAAAAAAAAAAAAAGAAAAUAUUUGACUUUCUUUUUAAAAUGUAUAUGGUUUACAAAUAAAGUUUACAAAUGCUUUUACACUCC